AAAGCUUUAAGUUAAAAACUAUUAACCUUCAAAGUUAAAAUUAUAGGAAGUCCUAUAAGCUUUA
rnacentral:tRNA from 2 species